rnacentral:rRNA from 1 species
GACGAACGCUGGCGGCGUGCUUAACACAUGCAAGUCGAACGGAAAGGCCCUGCUUUUGUGGGGUGCUCGAGUGGCGAACGGGUGAGUAACACGUGAGUAACCUGCCCUUGACUUUGGGAUAACUUCACGAAACUGGGGCUAAUACCGGAUAGGAGCUCCUGCUGCAUGGUGGGGGUUGGAAAGUUUCGGCGGUUGGGGAUGGACUCGCGGCUUAUCAGCUUGUUGGUGGGGUAGUGGCUUACCAAGGCUUUGACGGGUAGCCGGCCUGGGAGGGUGACCGGCCACCUGGGGCCUGCGAUACGGCCCAGACUCGAACGGGAGGCAGCAGUGGGGAAUAUUGCACAGUGGGCGGAAGCCUGUUGCGGCAACGCCGCGUGCGGGAUGACGGCCUUCGGGUUGUGAACCGCUUUCGCCUGAGACGAAGCGUGAGUGACGGUACUGGGUCAAGAAGCACCGGCUAACUACGUG